GAUGAACGCUGGCGGCGGGCCUAAUACAUGCAAGUCGAGCGAACAGACGAGGAGCUUGCGCCUCUGACGUUAGCGGCUGACGGGUGAGUAACACGUGGAUAACCUACCUAUAAUACUGGGGGAAUUUCGGGAAACCGGUGCCAAUACUGGAGAAUAUAUUGAACCGCAUGGUUCAAUAGUGAAAGACGCCUUUGCUGUCACUUAGAGAUGAUUCCGCGUCGCAUUAGCUAGUUGGUAAGGUAACGGCUUACCAAGGCGACGAUGCGUAGCCGACCUGAGAGGGUGAUCAGCCACACUGGAACUGAGACACGGUCCAGACUCCUACGGGAGGCAGCAGUGGGGAAUCUUGGGCAAUGGGCGCAAGCCUGACCCAGCCACACCGCGUGGGUGAUGAAGGUCUUCGGGUCGUAAAGCUCUGUUGUUAGGAAAGAAAAGCAGUAUAAGAAACUCCCGCCGUCUUGACGGUACCCAAACAGAAAGCAACGGCUAACUACGUG
rnacentral:rRNA from 1 species